rnacentral:rRNA from 1 species
GACAGAGGGUGCAAACGUUGUUCGGAAUUACUGGGCGUAAAGGGCGCGUAGGCGGCCUGCUAAGUCGAACGUGAAAUCCCCGGGCUCAACCCGGGAACUGCGUCCGAUACUGGCAGGCUUGAAUCCGGGAGAGGGAUGCAGAAUUCCAGGUGUAGCGGUGAAAUGCGUAGAUAUCUGGAGGAAUACCGGUGGCGAAGGCGGCAUCCUGGACCGACAUUGACGCUGAGGCGCGAAAGCCAGGGGAGCAAACAGG